GGCGCAUACAGAACAAAACUCUAAUUGAUCACUGACUAACUAUCAUCACAAAGAAACUAUAGAUCUCGUUAUGGCAUUAUUUUGGUGUCUAGGAAAAGUAAGAAAGUAACAUAACCCCUAAAAACAAUACCCCUUUUCCACCAAAUACCCAAAAAGAAAAAAAAAAAGAAAUCAUUUUUCCCCAUCAUUUCCCUCAUUUUCUAAGUAAACAAAAAGAGAGUGUGUGAGUGUUACGCGCUGAGAAAAUCGGCACGAGAAACAAGCGAAUUCCAACCAAGAGAGGAGUACAAAUCCACGUAGCUCUUCA
rnacentral:misc_RNA from 1 species